UAUUCAUAGAAUAAAGGUAAU
rnacentral:piRNA from 1 species